rnacentral:rRNA from 1 species
GCCUUCGACGAGUCGAGUUGUUUGGGAAUGCAGCUCCAAGUGGGUGGUAUAUUUCAUUUAAAGCUAAAUACCGGCGRGAGACCGAUAGCGCACAAGUAGAGUGAUCGAAAGAUGAAAAGCACUUUGAAAMUAGAGUCWAAAWGUACGUGAAAUUGUUGAAAGGGAAGCGCUUGAGWCCMGACUCAGACYCGAGCAAACACCGUGCCCCUCGGGGCCGUGCAAUUGCCAGKGGCUGGGCCAGCAUCAGUUGGCGUGGCGGGACAAAGKUGCAUAUCAAUAAGCGGAGGWAAAGAAACCAACAGGGAUUGCCCCAGUAACGGCGAGUGAAGCGGCAUGAGCUCAAAUU